UCUACAGGGAAGCGUCACCGAGGGAUGGCUGAUGUCAAGGCACACAUAGCUCUGGCUGCCGCGGAUAGGCAGUACUCAACGGAUGAUAUCCUCCUGACUCUGACUGAACCCUGUUUCGUGCAAACAUGCUCUGUAUUUUUUUUGGUAGGAACAUUAAGCUCUAAAGACAUAAUUAUUCAGACUGCAAGAUUUUUGCUUUGGGUUUCAGAAAAACUGUACAGACCUGCUUGCUGUAGUAUCCGUGUUAUGUACUUAGUGUCAAAUACAAAGUUCAAAUAUCAUUUGAUACAAGGAACAGGCAUCCGAACUUUAUAAAAGUAGAUAUAGCAAACAUUAGGCUUGAUUGCAUUAAUAAUUUAUAUAGUUGCAGAUGAACUUACUUCUGGUACUAAUCCUUUGAUGCUUUCCUUUUUAUUUUCACCAGUACAAGAUUAAGCUUGACAGUGAAAUCUUGGAUAGUAAGUAACACCCUUUCUGCAUAUUUAGAAUCUGUAUGCAAACUCACACCAGGUGCCAGAUGCAUCAUAGUUAAUAAAAAAACUUCUGCUGUAAUGGAGGUUCCUUUGAAGAUUCCGCCUAAUCUUUAGAAACAGAAAAUUAGAAGUAUAUAUUGUCCGCUAGAUGCAAGCAUAAGUAGCUUAAAACUGAAACGCCGGCAUCUCGGACCUCCUCCAUGGUUUGCCAGGCUACCAAGAUCAAUAAUGUAGCGGCAUGAGGAGGGAAUUUGAUCAAGGCAUAAGUAGGUAAAUACCCCUAGCUAAUUUCUUUAUUAUAUUUUGCCCUUCUCUCACUUUAUUCUAUUCUACCUUUUAGUGAUUGUAUAAUUAAAAUAUUCAAUAAACAUACAUUUACUUAUGCUUCGGAGGAUAAGACUUCUAUAAAUACACCCACCCAUGCCUAAGAUUUUAGCAAAUAAAUCUUGGCUCAUUAAAUUUUGUUUUUAAUGAAAGGAACAAUUUCUUCAAUGACAAACUACAUCUUUUUCUCUGUUAGGCUGUAGAAAAGAUAGGUGAUAUUAAAU